GAAGGCAACCUCGCGAGGGGGAGCCAAUCCCAAAAAAGCCCGACUCUCAGUUCGGAUUGCAGGCUGCAACUCCGCCUGCAUGAAGCCGGAAUCGCUAGUAAUCGCGGAUCAGCAUGCCGCGGUGAAUACGUUCCCGGGCCUU
rnacentral:rRNA from 1 species